UACCAGCACCCCGAGUGGUCGGGACGUUUAUUGGGCCUAAAGCAUCCGUAGCCGGUUCUACAAGUCUUCCGUUAAAUCCAGCUGCUUAACAGAUGGGCUGCGGAAGAUACUAUGGAGCUAGGAGGCGGGAGAGGCAAGCGGUACUCGAUGGGUAGGGGUAAAAUCCGUUGAUCCAUUGAAGACCACCAGUGGCGAAGGCGGCUUGCCAGAACGCGCUCGACGGUGAGGGAUGAAAGCUGGGGGAGCCAAACCGG
rnacentral:rRNA from 1 species